UACGAAGGGUGCAAGCGUUACUCGGAAUUACUGGGCGUAAAGCGUGCGUAGGUGGUGAGUUAAGUCUGUCGUGAAAGCCCCGGGCUCAACCUGGGAAUGGCGAUGGAUACUGGCUCGCUAGAGUGCGGUAGAGGAGAGUGGAAUUCCCGGUGUAGCAGUGAAAUGCGUAGAGAUCGGGAGGAAUACCGGUGGCGAAAGCGACUCUCUGGACGGCAACUGACGCUGAGGCACGAAAGCGUGGGGAGCAAACAGG
rnacentral:rRNA from 1 species